GACGAACGCUGGCGGCGUGCUUAACACAUGCAAGUCGAACGGGCCUGUCUUCUUUUUUGGGGGUGGGUUGAGUGGCGAACGGGUGAGUAUCACGUGAGUAACCUGCCCUUCGGUCCUGGAUAACCGCUUGAAAGGGCGGCUAAUACGGGGUGGUCCGGUUGGUCCGCAUGGGCUGGUCGGGAUAGAUUCACUGUUUUUGGUGUUUCGGCGGGGGAUGGGCUCGCGGCCUAUCAGCUCGUUGGUGGGGUGAUGGCCUACCAAGGCGGUGACGGGUAGCCGGCCUGAGAGGGUGGGCGGCCACACUGGGACUGAGAUACGGCCCAGACUCCUGCGGGAGGCAGCAGUGGGGGGUAGUGCACAAUGGGCGGAAGCCUGAUGCAGCGACGUCGCGUGAGGGAUGGAGGCCUUCGGGUUGUGAACCUCUGUUUCCGGUGGUGAAGGCCCUGUCCGUGUGGUGGGGUUGACGGUAGCCGGGGAUGAAGCGCCGGCUAACUACGUG
rnacentral:rRNA from 1 species